ensembl:snRNA U6 U6 spliceosomal RNA
GCGCUUGCUUCGGCAGCACAUAUACUAAGACCGGACGAUACAGAGAAGAGUAGCAUGGUCCCUGCACAAGGAUGACUCGCAAAUUCGUAGUGUUCCAUAUUUUU